UUUAUGGGCCUAACUAUCUGGGCCUUUUUAUAGUACGGCCUCGGUUUAUAAGCAGCCCCUCAGAGCGUAAAAUAAAAAGCCAUAUUAUUAUUUUUAUUUUUUGUAGUAGAAGUUCUUAUGUGAGCGAUUAAAUGCAUAUUGAUCAUAAAUUUAGAGUUGUUAUGUUUCUUACCGACGGUUAUGAUUUGGUGAAAAUAGUGUCUUCUCAUACUGAGUGACCAACUUUCUUUGUUUUCCUGAAUGAUAUCAACAGUGAUAGGAAAUAAUUCUUAUUUUUUUUCUUCUAUCUAAAAAUUUGAAUGUAAAAACGGAUUAUUGGGCACAUCAAAUUCGUUCUAUUCUGUAUUUUGUCAAGUAUAUAAACAAUUGUUUUUCGACUU
rnacentral:lncRNA from 1 species